AACACAUACAAGUCGAACGCGAAAGGGACUUCGGUCCUGAGUAAAGUGGCGCACGGGUGAGUAACGCGUAGAUAACCUGUCUUCAUGUCUGGAAUAAUACGCCGAAAGGGGUACUAAUACCGGAUAUUCUUGCUUUUCAUAAGUUAUGCAAGCAAAGGUGGCCUCUGCAUAUGCUACUGCAUGAAGAGGGGUCUGCGUACCAUUAGCUAGUAGGUGGGGUAAUGGCCUACCUAGGCGACGAUGGUUAGCGGGUCUGAGAGGAUGAUCCGCCACACUGGCACUGGAACACGGGCCAGACUCCUACGGGAGGCAGCAGUGAGGAAUAUUGCGCAAUGGGGGAAACCCUGACGCAGCGACGCCGCGUGAGUGAGGAAGGCCUUCGGGUCGUAAAGCUCUGUCAAGAGGAAAGAAGUGUACAAUGGCUAAUACCUGUUGUAUUUGACGGUACCUCUAAAGGAAGCACCGGCUAACUCCGUGCCAGCCGCCGC
rnacentral:rRNA from 1 species